rnacentral:rRNA from 1 species
UACAGAGGGUGCGAGCGUUAAUCGGAAUUACUGGGCGUAAAGCGCGCGUAGGCGGCUUUGCAAGUCGGGUGUGAAAUCCCCAGGCUUAACCUGGGAACUGCGUCCGAUACUGGGAGGCUUGAAUCCGGGAGAGGGAUGUGGAAUUCCAGGUGUAGCGGUGAAAUGCGUAGAUAUCUGGAGUAACACCGGUGGCGAAGGCGGCAUCCUGGACCGGUAUUGACGCUGAGGCGCGAAAGCCAGGGGAGCAAACGGG